rnacentral:rRNA from 1 species
GACGAACGCUGGCGGCGUGCCUAAUACAUGCAAGUUGAGCGCUGAAGGUUGGUACUUGUACCGACUGGAUGAGCAGCGAACGGGUGAGUAACGCGUGGGGAAUCUGCCUUUGAGCGGGGGACAACAUUUGGAAACGAAUGCUAAUACCGCAUAAAAACUUUAAACACAAGUUUUAAGUUUGAAAGAUGCAAUUGCAUCACUCAAAGAUGAUCCCGCGUUGUAUUAGCUAGUUGGUGAGGUAAAGGCUCACCAAGGCGAUGAUACAUAGCCGACCUGAGAGGGUUGUCCGCCCACUUGGGACUGAGACCAGGCCCAAACUCCUUCGGGAGGCAGCAGUCGGGAAACUUCGGCAAUGGACGAAAGUCUGACCGAGCACCGCCGCGUGAGUGAAGAAGGUUUUCGGAUCGUAAAACUCUGUUGGUAGAGAAGAACGUUGGUGAGAGUGGAAAGCUCAUCAAGUGACGGUAACUACCCAGAAAGGGACGGCUAACUACGUG